rnacentral:rRNA from 1 species
ACUCCUACGGGAGGCAGCAGUGGGGAAUAUUGCACAAUGGGCGCAAGCCUGAUGCAGCCAUGCCGCGUGUGUGAAGAAGGCCUUCGGGUUGUAAAGCACUUUCAGUUGUGAGGAAAGGUUAGUCCUAAUNUCGGCUAGCUGUGACGUUUAGCAACAGAAGAAGCACCGGCUAACUCCGUGCCAGCAGCCGCGGUAAUACGGAGGGUGCGAGCGUUAAUCGGAAUUACUGGGCGUAAAGCGCGUGUAGGUGGC